UCUAGGUUGAUGCCUUGAUGGUGGUUGAUCAUUCGGUACGUCUUCCUUUGUGAAUUUCUUCAUAAUUUAUGGCACGCCGAAAGAGUCCAAAACAAAAUGUUUAAAUUAAAAAAAAAAAAGUUUCGCCACGCUAUCUAGCGGUCAAAUAUAGAACUGCAUGCCAAAUUCCCUUCCCCACGUGAGAAGUUGUAAAAUCACUUCAUCUUGAGUCAACAAUCAACGUUAAGCUAGCUUCGAAAAUUACCAAUGAUUCGUAGUCAGAGUAAACGUGAAAGUCGUGCACCUACCGUCAACUAUUUUGUUCAAACUCAGUGUAUUCUACUGAAUGUGAUCGAAAUGAUACAGGAUUAAUCUUCAUUAUCGGCUGUUUCUAUUGAACUUGCUAGAUCACCGACCCCAG